UACAGAGGAUGCAAGCGUUAUCCGGAAUCAUUGGGCGUAAAGCGCGCGUAGGUGGCCUCGUAAGUCCGCUGUGAAAGUCAAAGGCUCAACCUUUGAAAGCCGGUGGAUACUGUGGGGCUAGAGUACGGAAGAGGCGAGUGGAAUUCCUGGUGUAGCGGUGGAAUGCGCAGAUAUCAGGAGGAACACCAAUAGCGAAGGCAGCUCGCUGGGACGUUACUGACACUGAGGCGCGAAAGCGUGGGGAGCGAACAGG
rnacentral:rRNA from 1 species